rnacentral:misc_RNA from 1 species
AAAAAUGCAAAGGAGACAUUCUGGCCCAACCAAAAAUGACCACUGAGAUCAACAAUACAAAAACCAUUAAUGCCACAAAUCAGACUACACUAUCUUCUGUAUAAUUCGUGAAAAAGCUGUAGGAAUUAGCCAGAGUUUUCAACUUCCAGUUCCAUCUUCUAAUUUAUUGAUUGAACAAAUAAAUUACUCAUACACAAACUAACUGAAAAGAGAUCGUUGACGUCAUGUUUUUUACAUCCUCAUUUCACACAAGAAAGGACACCCGCAAAGAAGCACAUAUAUUUUACCAAAGAAGAUGUAGACAAAGCAUAAUUAGAUGAACAGAAAUGAAAAGGAACUUCCAACUCAAACCGAUCUUCGAAGUAUUAUUUCCAGGACCUGGACUGAUGGCUGGACAAGUAUUUACUGUGGCAAGUGUUGUCAAGAUAGUUUGGUUAUUGAACCCAGAAUAGGCACAGCUUGUUUGGUUGCAGCCUACAAUUGUGGUGUUUCCAAUGGAUAAAUUGUCCGCACCUUCACAUAGCGUGGUGGAAGGACAAGUUAGCCAGGUGUUGUUAGCUGGUCUAAGCUGAGAUGGCUGACAUUGUAAUGUCCAGUUUUUUGCAGAAUCACAAUUGCAUCUCAUGCAACUGUUAGCAGUGAAGACAUAAGUGCCAUUAGGAACGAGUAAAGGGUAAUCUAGCGAGCUAGCGAUCACCGAUGAAUUACAAGCUUUGAGUGGGACAUCAAGAACUUGGCCAGCCAUGAGAGAACUGUCAUUAACAAUUGAAUUAAGGCUCAUAAGCGUGUCUUUAGUAGUGCCGUAUUCCUCUGCAAUCAACUCCAGCGUGCUCCCGGCUUCCACCACGUGUCCAUAAUGGACAACUCUCUCUCCUCCUACCUCAUCGCAGCUGCACGGUAACGGAAUCCACAGCUCAUCCCUUGGAUGAAUCAAGCUCGCGUUCUUUAUAUUAUUAACGGCCGCGAUUUGCUGAUUCGUCACCAAUCCUGAGAACACCUCCCUAGCGAUAUGAUCAAGGUCGUCGCCUGAUUGAACGAUGUAGGUGGGUUUCUUGUUAGAGAUGCCAGUCCCGUUGGAGCACAAGCAAGUGAAGGGGAUCUUGAUAGUCUGCUGCGCGGCUACAGUUUGGUUGGGUAAGGUCGAGAGAGGGAAAUUAUUAGCGCCGAGGAGGGAGCGGAGGUUUUUGAUUGAAAAUAGGGCUUCAAUGGCGGAGAGUGUGCUGGUAUUCGGAGAGACAUAGUCAAUCAGGGCGUGGCAAGUGGCGGAUGUGGUGCAUUUGAAGGGCUGCGACUGCGAGGAUGAAUUAGUGGCGAGCGAAGCAAAGAACAGUAGCAUUAGACUGAGAAGUAGAUGAGCAGUAGGAAGAGCCAUUUCUGGCUGCAAUGGAGUUUUUGCGCGAUGUUCAAAGAAGAAGAAGAAGAAGAGGGCAGAAUGGGGUUUUUGCUGGGUUUGAACUGUGGAAGAGGAGACUUUUUUUUU